rnacentral:misc_RNA from 1 species
UGAAAGCCCUGGGUAAAA